AUUGAACGCUGGCGGCAUGCCUUACACAUGCAAGUCGAACGGUAACAGGGAGCUUGCUCCGCUGACGAGUGGCGAACGGGUGAGUAAUGUAUCGGAACGUACCUUUUAGUGGGGGAUAACGUAGCGAAAGUUACGCUAAUACCGCAUAUUCUCUGAGGAGGAAAGCAGGGGACCUUCGGGCCUUGCGCUAAUAGAGCGGCUGAUAUCAGAUUAGCUAGUUGGUGAGGUAAAGGCUCACCAAGGCGACGAUCUGUAGCGGGUCUGAGAGGAUGAUCCGCCACACUGGAACUGAGACACGGUCCAGACUCCUACGGGAGGCAGCAGUGGGGAAUUUUGGACAAUGGGAGCAACCCUGAUCCAGCCAUGCCGCGUGAGUGAAGAAGGCCUUCGGGUUGUACAGCUCUUUCGGCCGGGAAAAAAUCGCAUGGGUUAAUACCCUGUGUGGAUGAUGGUACCGGAAUAAGAAGCACCGGCUAACUACGUGCCAGCAGCCGCGGUAAGAC
rnacentral:rRNA from 1 species